UUUACCGGAUAUUGGGAAAAAGUAAAAUACUCACAAACUGAAAGGAAUAUUAGCAUUUACUAGGUAACAGACUUUCGGGGAACCAAAGUAUCUAUCUAGGCAAGAUCUCGAAAGAAAAGGUCAAUCAUGGACUCAACCCAAUGAGGAUAUAACUCAGGGGCGGGUGGUUCCAUCCAGAUAAUCAACUACAGGGGAAAAAG
rnacentral:lncRNA from 1 species